UGCAGAGGGUGCAAUCGUUAAUCGGAAUUACUGGGCGUAAAGCGUGCGUAGGUGGUUUGUUAAGUCAGGCGUGAAAUCCUGGGGCUCAACCUCAGAAUUGCGCUUGAUACUGACAGACUCGAGUGUGGUAGAGGAUAGUGGAAUUCCCGGUGUAGCGGUGAAAUGCGUAGAUAUCGGGAGGAACAUCAGUGGCGAAGGCGGCUAUCUGGACCAACACUGACACUGAGGUACGAAAGCGUGGGUAGAAAACAGG
rnacentral:rRNA from 1 species